AUUCUCAUGACUCCAUGUUAAUUGGAGGUGAGUAAAAGUGAAAAGUACAUUGUCAGGCUUGUUAAAAACUAUGUUCUUGGGGCUGGGGUUGUGGCUCAGAGGUGGUCUAGUAUGUGAGACACCCUGGGUUCAAUCCUCAGCAAUAUAUAUAUAUAUAUAUAUAUAUAUAUAUAUAUAUAUAUAUAUAUAUAUAUAAAAUAAAGAUACUGUGUUCACCUAUAACUAAAAAACAAAUAUUAAAAAAAAAUACAUGUUCUUGGACUGGAUGUGUAGCUCAGUGGUAGAGUGCUUGUUUAGCAUAGGCAAGGCCAGGUUCAAUCACCAGUUAAAUCACUGCCAAAAAAAAAAAAGUUUUCUUAUAUAAAUAAUAGAGAAAAAAAAGAAUUCAGGAUACUUCCAUAUCAAUGCAUAUCGAUGACAAUUUAAUGGUUAAUGGUUAAUGAUUUAAGUCAUGCAAGCAUUCACUUUUAGUGAAGAACAAGCAGGAACACUGAUUCUGAUGAAGAUGUAGAAAAACUAGGAAUAUCUUACAUUCCUGUGGGAAUGCAAUUGUUAAAGUGCUUUUAGAAAUUAGUUAAGUGUUUUGUGUUUACUCUUAAGACUCAGCAUUCCUAUUCCUGAGUAUUUAAAGAAAUAAAAGAAUACAAUCACACAAAAACCUUCAGCAAAUGUAUACUGCAGCUUUAUUCAUGACUAUGAAAAUACUCUGAAAACUUCCUAAAUAUUCUUCUAUUGGUAAAUAAACUAUGGUAUAGUCACAUAAUGGGAGUUUUCUUGACUAUAAAAUGGAUGAACUAUUAAUGCAAGCACCAACUUGUAUUAAUAUUAAAUGUGUAUUACUGAGUAAAAUUAACCAGUUUCAAAAAUUGUAUACCCUAUGAUUCAUUUCGAAUCAGAUUCUCAAAUAGAUGAAACUGCAUUGAGAGAGAGAGAGAGAGAGAGAGAGAGAGAAUAGAUAAGUGGUUGCUAGGGAGGGUGAAAGAGGGGAAAACUGUUGAAUAGCAGUUUCUGUGACUGACAGAACUAUUCUGUACCCUGAUUUUCAUAUUUGUUACACAAAUGCUCCAAUCAUAUGCACCCAAAUUUCAAAGUGAUUAUGUAAAAUAUCAUAUUUAAAUAAAAAGUAACAAAUUGUUGUACCUGGUGCUAAUAAUAUAGAGCACCACUUAGAAGUCCUAUUUUACUUCUGAAGAUAAUGCAUUCCACACAUAGGAAAAUUAUUCUGACUUAUUUACAAAGUGACAAGCAAAGCUGCUAACCUGAAAUGAUAUUUAUUAGAAGAAGGAACACUAGAGUAAGUACAUGUUGUGAUACAAGCAAACAUUCCACUUAGGGUUUAAUUUGACACCUUUUAAGGUAUUAAUAGAAGAUACUUUCUAGUAUUCAUGGUAUGGUACCUGUAGAAUGUACCACAAGCCACAAUUAAAAAUAUCACAGUUCAGAUUCUUAGACUUGAAGAACAAGUUCAUGUGACCAUACUCUCUAAAGUAAGGGGUUAAAACAAAAUAAAAUUAAAUGCAUCACCAUUAGGAUACUGGGUACUCUUGAACAUGAGGAACCUCACCAAAGAAUGUCAAAAGUUAAUGCAUCCAGAAUUGCCUGUGAUGAACUGGACUCCUUAAGUUCCAAAGUCAUAAAUUUUGGCUAGCUUAGCAGUACUUUGUAGGAAAAUUAAGUUCUAUAUCCAGAAGCAGGGAUGAGCUAAAAUUCUCCUGUGAAAGCUAUGUAAGUAAGCACCCCAAACAUUUAAAGUCAUUCACCACUACUUCAAAUGGAAAGAUCAGCAUGAGAAAGAGAGAGAAAAAAAGAAAGAGAGAGACCAUGCAUAUGGGGGGGGGGCAGGGGAGACAUAUUUUUAAUACUACCAAGAAUAGAAGAGGUGAUGGGGAAGUAAGAGGGAAAAAAAUCAAACAAUUUUCUAUAGUUCUUUUAUUCCCAUCUUCCUAAGCACCCAAAUUAGAACAAAUGUGUGAGAGGUAGGGGUAGACACAGAGAGAGAGAGAGAAAGACAGAGAGAAGAUAAGAGAGAAGAAAGAGAUGUGUUAUGUGGCCAUUAGAAUAAUGCUGGCUUGAUAACAUAAACUAGAAAAGGUUACUUCUGUUUUCCAGUGUUUCUGGAGAAGUGGUAGUUUUUCUUCUUAAAAGUAUUUUGUAGAUUUGUAAACCAAUUUUGGCUCAAAAUAUUCUUGUUUAGAAAAGCUGUUAACCACAAAUUUGUGUAAUAAAUAAAGGGCAACUUAGAUUAUUUAACUACACUUGAUUAAAUUUUGUUAAUUUGUGACACAGAAGAAAGGUAUUCAUUCAUUCCAUGUUGUAGAAGUCAUGAUUAAAGAGUUCACAAUAUUCCUCUAAAUUACUUUUGGUAUCUCUGGGACUGAUGGCAAUAAUGGUAAUUUUGGUCUUCUAUCUUUUCUUCUUGGUAGCUUGGCAUUAGAUUUAUCAUAAUCAUUUAUGCUGUUAUAUAACAACUUUUGUAGCUAGCCAGGGUGGUGCAAGCCUGUAAUCCCAGCAGUUUAGGAAGCUGAGAGAGGAGAAUUUUGAGUUCAAAGCCAGCCUCAGCAAAAGAGAGGCACUAAGUAACUCAGUGAGACCCUGUCUCUAAAUAAAAUACAAAAUAGGGCUGGGGAUGUGGCUCAGAGAUCUAGUGCUCCUGAGUUCAAUCACCAGUACUAAAGGGAGGAAAAUUAAGUUUUUAUGAGGUUUUUCAGGUAAUUAUGUUAAGUUUGAACUAUAAUAUAGUCAUCAAUGAUUUGCAUUUUCUUGAUAAUGGUAAAAACGUGUUACUGAUAUUAUAGAGAUUUUUUUUUUCAUCCUUUAUGUGUAUAUAAAUAUAAAUGUAUGGGAUACUUUUAUGACUAGAGUUAUCUGGUCCCUUGACUGUUUUCAGAUUUUUAUGUGGUUGUAAUGCAUACUGGCAUGUCCCAAUUUACUAUACUAUGUGAAUGACAUGCCAUUCUUAUCCUAUAAGCAAAACAGGUGCCUAUUUUUCCAUUAAUGUAAAGAAUUAGUGAAAUGUAAUGUAAUGGUUAAUGUAAAGAAUAAGUGAUUCCAUGACAAAUCUCAACUCAGUUACUGAUUGUUUAUACUAAAGGGACUUCUGCAGCUUUGUAUAUGAAGUACGAUGUCAUUUGUCUAAUGUUUGCAGAUUAGAUUUCCACAUGAUUUUUAUUUCUUCCUGUAAAAUACUGUUUCUACAGCAAUGUUAUGAAUUUUUGUCCUUCAUCAAAAUUAUUGAAUACUUGGAUUCUGAGAUUUGUGUCUUCUUUUUAACAUCUGUCUAUUUCAUAUCCCUGUGGCCAUGCCCUUAUUCAAACCUCUUCUUUUUAAAUUGUAUGCUAAUGUAAACUAUAUCAAUCACCCUCUAUGGUUCCCUUGGUGGCUGUGAUUACAUUUUCAGAUCAUACCUGUACAACCACACUUUAAUUAUCAAUUUAGUUGCUACUGGUCUGUCUUGUAAGACCUGUUUCUUCUGUGUUUAGUGCAAGGAUUGACUGACAGCAAGAUCAAUGGGAAAGAGUAAAUCAAUUCUGUAGUCUUUGUAAGAUGCCCUUAGUUAGUAUUGAGAACAUAUUUUUUAGUGACACUCACAAACUGAAAGUCUUACAUUUUAAGAAAAGAGCACUCACCAUGACUUUUCUAGUAGUUUGAUUUUUGAACUUCAUGAAUGUAAUUACAAUAAGUUGCCAUCUCCUGUGUUCUGUCCUAUCUCUUCCCCUUAUCCCUCAUAAAAUGAGAUGUAUACAUUUUUUUAAAUAAAAUGUAAAAUGUAUGAUUGCAGUUAUUAGCCCAGCAGUUCUAUUCUACUUCAAAUCAAAACCAUGAAUUCUUUCAAUAAUCUGAGAGAAAAUACAAUUUUCAUGAUAAUUUUAAAAACACAAGCAAUAAAAAGUAACUAUGUUGUACCUAAAUUAAUUUUAUAUGGACAUUUUUCUAAAAUGAUAGUUUAUAGAAAUAUUUAGCUGGCUAAUGCUUGUACUAAAAUCUAAUUUAAUAAAAAUGAAUGAACCACUUCUUAAUAUCCUAUGAAAUUCUAGGUUUAAAAUUUCACAAAACUAUUGACUCAAUUAUUCACCACCAGUGCUUUGGUGGAAAGAGAGUAAAGAAUAUUUUCCUCUCAUAGAGAAAUUAAUAACCUAUUUUUUGGACAAAGAAGAUACAUGACAUAUUUAAGUCUUACAAAUAAACAAAUUAUGUUUAUUUCAUGUGCAUAGAAUAAACAUGAUCUGACUGGUUCAUAACUUUUUCCCCCUUUUAUUCUUCUGGUACUACAGAAUUGAGCCUGAGGAUACUCUACCAUUGAGCUACAUCCCCAGUACCCUUUUUAAAAUUUUUAUUUUGAGAUAAGGUUUUACUAAAUUGUCCAAACUGGCCUUGAAUUUAGGAUCUUCCUGCCUCAACCUCCCUAAUUGCUGUUAAUUAAAAUGUGCUCUAUCUUCUCCAGGAAACUGUAUUUACAUUAGCUUUCCUUUACCCUGUUGAUAAAGCAGAGAUUCUGCCCUAGACUUUGGGAAGGUGGAGGAUACUCAUGUCAUUAGAGUCAUAUGGAAAUUAAACUCUGGAACAGAAGGAACAAGUAGAAGCUAUAUAGUAUCUAGAAGUGAUGUGAUGUACAAUUCCCUCAGAAGGGUAUCUUUCAAUAACCCAGCUGGCUAACAUGGAGCUGAAACAUGUAUACAGCAAUGAACAGGCCCAGUGUCUAUGCCCAUGAUCAGUAGGGUUGUCUGCAAGAAAUGCUCAUUGAAAGUGUGGGGGAUGGGAGCUUGUACUUGGGUCAUUCAAGGCUUUGGAGGUCUCAGAUGAGAAGGCAAAAGAUAAUAUUUAAUCAUAAUUUUUGGUAUUGCACCAACACAACUUUUGCCAUAUAGAUAAUUAGACAAAUAGUCAAGAAAAUAUUUACUUUUUUACUGAAAAUGUCACUUUUAUUUGUAUUUUAAAAAUCAUAUCAAUUGUCUCCUUAAUUGGAAAUUUAGGUAAUAGUAAGGUUAUAUUUCUUGAUUAUUGCCAAGAAUAUUUUUGUGUACCUUUAGUUAUGUCCAUGAUGCUAAUUUUUAAGGAAUGAUUCCUUUCCCCAUGUAACCUGUCCUUCCCACAGUAUUUGUCACAUAUGGCCACUCACUCUGUCUCAAGAUCACCUGUCUUCUGAGUUUCCAUUACACCACACCACUAGAUUUCUUUGUAAUCUGUUUCAUAAACUUUCUGUAAUGAUCUUCAACUUGUGAAUUUCCUUAAGACACAUGCUAAUAUUUUAAAUGAUUUAUUUCCAUCUUUCUUAGUACCCCAAAUCAGAACAAAAAACACUUUCUAAAAUAAUAAAACUCAUUUAAAAAUUUUUGGUGGUUAAGAUAAAAAGGUCAGCUUCUUUUUUAAUGCAAAUUCUAUAGUAGCUGGAAUUAAAGAAACACUUUUUAUGAACUAUGGCAUAGGUUAGAAAAUGAAUAGAAAUGAGUUCUCAUUGGCUGGCUAAUAUUCUAAUGAGAUAGAUUAAUCAGAUACUUAUAUAAAAUAACUACAUUUUCUUUUAUUAAUUCCUACAGUAUCUAUAAAAUCAAUAUUAAUAUGCACUAGAUGUUGAACUAAAAAUGUCACUGCUGUUUAUGGAUAUUAGACUGCGAUGAAGAACUAAUUAGAAAAAAAAUAUAUAAAUAAACAAACAGUGAAGACUCCUGUGAAGGAAAAGAUCCAGAAACUGUAAAAGGAACUAAUGGAAAAAAAUAAAUAAUUGUAGAUGGUAUACUCGAUGAAGGCCUCAAUUUAAAAUAUUGUAAUGUAAUUUUACAUAUAUAUAUGUAUAUCUUGACAUUUAUUGUUCUUCUGUAGCACAGGAGUUCAGUUGAUCUUAUCAACUGUUUUCCUUUUAAAGAUUAUAUACAGCCUUUUUCAAGUUUUUUAGCUUUGUUUCUUUUUUUCCUUUUCUCCUAUACUUACUUCACUUUGGCUACCAAGCACUUUUCACAUAUGGCCUCAAACUCAGUGCUUAUACAGUAUCUAUCUAUUGGUCUAUCCAUCCAUCCAUGUAUUGUGUCACAUCACAGCAUUUAAAAAUGAUUAUCAUAUUAUUUUCACUUAUCUGAAUCUUGUUUAAUAAUACCUUGGACAAAUAUCUGUUUUUUAAUUGGCAUGACUCUAAUCCAUUUAUUCAAAAAAUAAUGUAUAUUAUUCCUUAGAAUAAUAUAUAUAUAUAUAUAUAUAUAUAUAUAUAUAUAUAUAUAUACACACACGCAUAUAUAUGUAUACACACAAACACACAUGUAAUUUCCCUAUUGAUGUAAAUUUAUUCCCCUUUCAAGUUUUGUAAAUAUCAAUCAUUUUUUAUUAUGAACUAUGGGUCUUUAUUCUUUUAUUUACUUGUAUGAGAUCUACCCAAAGUUCAAUGUGUAUAAUGUCUUUGUGCUAUAAAUAGAUGUUGUGUAUGUUCCUUUCAAAAUGCAUGAAGUAUAACAUAUGCACCAGUAGGAGAACUUUCUCAGAGUAUCUCCAGGGAAAGUUUUUUUUUUUUUUUUCUGUUUCCUUCUAAGUAAUUUCAUUUCAGAGUAAUUGGAUACCAGUAGUUGUCACACAGUGUUACUAAAUAGGAAGUGUCCUUACAGGAUGGAAUACAGGAAUUCUUCCUUUGUGGUUAUAAUAUUUUUUUUCCACCAGAUCACUUAAUUUGUCAUUUAUUUUGCCCAUAGUUUGGGGCUGGGGCAUGAGUUCAAAUUUGCCUGAUGAACUUAUGCAAAAUAGGCCAUACUAAUAUUGUUGAACAUAUGUCAAUCCAGACUGCUACCAGGGAACAAGAAGUGAUGGGAAAGCAAGAGAAAAAAAUUCAAAUGAUUUUCCACAAUUGUCUUUAUUCACAUCUUUCUUAGCACCCCAAAUCAGAAUAAAAAUACUUCCUAAAAUAAUAAAACUCAUUUAAAAAUUUUUGGUGGUUAAGAGAAAAAGGUCAGCUUCUUUUUUAAUGCAAAUUCUAUAGUAGCUGGAAUUAAAGAAAUGCUGUUUUAUGACCUAGACAUAUGGCAUAGAUUAGAAAAUGGAUAGAAAUUUGUUCUCAUUGGCUGGCUAAUAUUCUAAUGAGAUAGAUUAAUCAAUGUAAACCACAUAGCUCUGUUGAAACUGCCUUUCUAAAUUGCCAAUUUCAUUUUCUUCCAGCAGAGAAAAUGCCAAUUUUUUCCUAUGUAGUAAAAUCUUCUUGUUAUAACAACUAAGCAACUCCAGAGUUACUGUUAUUGUGGAACAUCUGGUAACUACAAGAUGUGUCUCCUCAGAGAUAACCACAUAGCUACAAAAUAAGAAUGUCCUUAACCUAGCUGUAUUUCAUGUUUUGUUAUACUCUGGAGCAUGGCUGCCUCAUAAUACAGUAAUCACUUUUCUUCAGCACCAUAAAUGAAACCACAGAUGCUACAAUUUGCUAUAAUUGGAGCAGCUUACCAUAAAUAAAUAAUCAAAAUAACAAUAUAUGCAUAAACUUAUAAAAGUUGGAUUGAAAACAUUACAGAACAAUUACCUAAAUCAAAGAGUCCAUGCCUUUCACAUUUAUUCUUUAAGAAAUAAGGAGAUAAUUGACUGGGUCCUCUUACUAAACUAAUUUUUCCACAUUGUAUUAUUUACUUCAAAAGUCAACCCAACAAUGAAAUUUCAAAGAUUUAGAAGCAACUAUUUUUUGGGGGGGUGGGGGAGGCAGAGUGGAACAGUACUGGGGAUUGAAUCCAGGGGCACUUAACCACUGAACUCCAUUCAUGAGUCCUUUUUAUAUUUUAUUUAGGACAGCAUCUCGCUAAUUUGCUUAUAGCCGUGCUAAAUUGCUGUGGCUGAGAUCCUCCUGCAUCAGCCUCCCUAGCCACUGGGAUUACAGGCAUGUGCCACCAAUCCUAGCUAACUAAUUACUCUUAUAUAAUGGUCAGAAAUGAUUUAUAAAUUAUUUCAAGUCACUCCAAUUAUUUUCCAUGUUGCUACAGUUCUUUAUUAUUUUCUCUUUCUGAAAGCAUUUUAUAUCAUGCUUCUAAUAGUUAAUUAAAUUUUAUUUCAUCAGUUUCAAACUUCAAGGGACAAAUAAAAUUCUUGUGUAAUUUGCUAAAUUAUUAUACAAUUCAAAAUAAAUAUUUUUGUGUGACCUUUAAUUUAUAAACUUGUCUAUUUUUUAAUAAACCUAUGGACAUUGAAAGUAAAGCUAUAAGCAUUUUGGGUAUUAUAGAAAAAUAUUGAGGUAAUUCACUAUGGUCUUAAGUAAACUGUGUGCAAUAAUAUUUAAAUAUAUAUUGCUUAUAUAGUAAAUAUUGCACACAUAUUGUGUAGAUAAUAUUUGACAUGUUUAUAUUCAAUAAAAACUUUUGAUUAAUAACUUUCAAACAUUGAAAAAGCUAAAUAAUGCAUGAGAACAUUUUAAAAAUGUAUUUAUGUGGUAAUAUUGUACUUCUCACUAUGUUCAGAUUAACUUUACCCCUGAAAUGAAUGCAGGAAUAGCUUAAAUACUAUUCAAUGAAGAAAAGUCCAAAUAAAAGUUAUAUAGUAAUCAAAUGAUAAUAGAAAUAUUUUUUUCUGAAUUUCAACUUGGAACUGUUUUUUUUUUUUUUUUAAGUGAGUGCUUGGUCUAGAAAAUAAUAAGUGUGAGGGUGGUCUAUGUAUAUAAGUGAUGAAGAUUUGGCACCAGUACUUUAUUGACAAUAUGUUUCUUUGCAUUGGAACUUCUAACCAUAUGUUGUUCUUUUAUACUUGACUAGUUUAUCCUUUUCUUUUUUUUUAAGGUAAAUGGUUUUGAGAACUUAAGUCUUAGAGAGUUGUAAGGCUCAUCUUCAAUGAGCUUCCAAAGCCCUGAAAAUGAUCAGAACCACUGUGAAUACAAAAUAGUUUAUCCAAUUUGUCCCAAGUCCUCUACUUAUUUGUAAUCUUGGCAGCAUGCUUGGAUGUUUAUGGAAAAUUAUAUCUGAGAAAUAAAUCUUAACAGCUUUAAAUUUUGGAAAAAAAGAUUGUGCAUUAACAAUUUUAUACUUUUCACCGGUCUCUUAUGCAGUUUCCAGAUGUAGCACAUCCCUAGUACUUCCUAAUUUAUUCCUUAUUGAAAUUUUUCUGUACUCUUAAGGGACAAAUGACCAUUUGCACAUUGCAUAUAUUCCCAACUAUAUAGUUGUGUUAAUAUCUGUCUAUGUGAUAGAUAGCAAGUAGAAAUUACAUUUGAUAUGCUUUACUGCAUUUUGACUGUACAGUAGCUAAAUCGAAUGGAAGAAGCAAUAUUCAAAAUAUGUUGAACAGAAAAAUGAUGUAGUCCUUGAUUAUCUACACUUAAAUCAGGAACACAUUAAUGUAUUUACUCAUUUUGGUUUUCCAAUGAUUUUGCCUUUUUUUGUAUUCUUAGAAUUAUGUCUGAUUUUCCUUAAUCUAAAUUAAAUUCAAAAAUUGAGGAUCUAUAAAAUCUACCAUGCCCUCUAAUUCAGUUCCAAUUAAAAUAGUGUUUCUCUUUAUGCAUGGAAGGGAACAAUGUGUUCAUCUUAGUUAGUUAUCUAUUAAGAUUUGGUUUGUAUCAUUAAGACUCCUUCAAAGUAAGAGUUGUAAUUCUUCCGACUGAUGAAGCAGAUGCUGCAUUAAAAGAAUGUGAAAUGUGUCUCAUCAUUUUAUUGACUCAGAGCUCAUGAAGAUUCAGAGAGUUAUUAUCCUAUUCACAAAUGUCUUCUUCUUCAGUUAUGACAGACAUAAAUUAGCAAGGCCAGGACAAAGUAGUGCAAUUCAUGAUCAUUUUAAAUUAAAACAUCCUAAAUAUUUCUGAAAUGAAAAAUUCCAAGUACAAUCCAACAGAAUGGUUUUGCAGUCCAAUAGGUGACAUCAGAUUGUGCUGAGAAUACAGAUUAUGUAUUAUGUGCUCUUUAGACUCAAUCUGCUUUUUCUAUCAUCUGAUUAGUAUAGACAGGUAUUCAAGGAGGUGAAAAAUGUACAGUGAGCUUUAUUUUAGUUUUAAUAAAAUCAUUUCCUCCUUCUAGCAGUUUUCUAUCAUAUUAGUAAUGUUUCUUCAUAAUGCAUGAAUAUUAAGUUUGUCUGAUAUAAUACUAAAUUAUCUUAUUAAGAACUCACAUGUUAUAUAGUGGAAAAGAGAAGUAAUGGGAUAUAACACUAAUUCAAUUGAUGAAAGUUACUGAUACAGAAAAGCAGCUCAUUUUCCUACAAGGAUGUCAAAAAUAUUUAUCAUGCCUCACUUCAAAGAAUUUCUCUCUUAAAACCAAUAUUAUUUUUAGCUAAUUGUAUGCAGCGUAUUUAAAGAUAGUAAAGAGAGACAAGCUGGUGUAGAUACGACUGUAAUUGAGAGGGUAGCUGCUGAAUGAUUUAAGGAAUAUGCAUAAGGAAGACACAACUGAAGAAUAAAAAGUAGCACUGAAUACUCUAUGUAGGCUUCACAAUGGAAAUGGGAAAUAUUUGAAAGUGGAAAAUGUGCUACCUCAAAAAAAAAAAAAAAAAGGAAGAAUGACACAUAAGAAUGGCAAAGAUAAAUUGGUUUUGUAAUAACACUGGAGAUUAUUUUUUUUUAAAAAGUGGAAGUCAUGGCAAUGUCUCUAUUUCUAUUACUAAAAGGAUGCAUAUUUCUCAUCUAGUCCCAAUAUUUUCUCUCUGUGAUUACUUGGAUUGCUUUAUAUAAAGAACUUGAUACAUGCCCUUUGUCCUGGAAUGCUCAUCAUAACCUACACCAUCAUCUCUGUUAAAUGAAAAGGUCUUAUUUAUCUCUUCACUAAACUAAAUGUUUCACAUUUUCAGUUAUGAUGAAAAUUUUAUCCCUUAAUCAAAAUCAGAUAGCUUUUCUAGUUUUUAAACAAGGGAUCCAGGCAGUUUCUGUGUAUAUGGGGCUCUCAGUAAAGCAAAGGGAAGAGAUUUAUAGAACCUUAUAAUAAUGAAAAUAUUGUCUACAAUGAUAUGAAAGAAAAUAGUUUUAGAAUUAAAUAUGUAAUUAUGUAAUUUAUUUCAUCUGUCUCAACUACCACAAUUCCAGGUAUAAUAAAUCUGUUUUUUUUAAGUUCCCUCUAUUAUAUAUAUAAAAAAUUUACUACUAUAUAUUUCCCCAACUUCAUCUCAUAUUGUUAAGUUCCUUUCAUUCUUUUUGACUUGUACCUACAGGCUCAGUUUAAAUAUUGUCUUCUUAAAAUAUUUCAAAAACCUGAAAUUGAAUUAUGUUCUUUAUAAAUCACUUUAAGAAUUAUGACUUUAUAUUAUAGUUAUUUUUUAUGAUUGUUUCUCCUUCACUAGAUAAUAGUUCUGUGAGACAAGAAACAUGUUUCCCAUUCUCUGAUCAAAAAUAUCUAGAAAGGUGUAGAACUCAUAAUAUAUAUUUACUAAUUGCUUUAAUUUGAAUUGUCCACAGGGUCUCAAUGAGAAAUAUUUCACCAGAAAACUGUCAUCUCUGAUAUAUCCUUCACUAUUUUACAGAUUGACAUAUUAUGCUAAAAUAAAACUAAAUAAUCUUUUAAAAUGUCUUUCUCUGUCUUUUUGAUGCUUCUGCAUAUCACAUAUAAUCCCCUUUUAACAAUUCAUAAUUGCUUUAUACAAAACUUGCCUCUAAAGCAAAUGGACCUAAAACCACUAUUCCUAUUUAAUCUUACAUUUCUGUGCAUCUUGCAAAAGACUUCGUGAAAUGGCAUGCACAUGAGAGUGCUAAUAAACACCUGCUUAUUGAAUAAAGGAUCUUUCUAUAUUUGCUUAUGGAAAUUUGCAUUUAAUAAGCAAUUUAAAGUAAAAAAAAUAUGCAAGAGCAACUGACAUUUCAAUUGUGUAGUUUAAUAUUUUAUGUAAGGAAAUACCAUUACCAUUUGGGUAUCAAAGCAAAAUUGAUAUGUGUUAAAUCACAACAAAAGAGAUAACUUUUUUUUUUUUUUUUGCAAAACUGGAUUUAUGUUUGACUACUGGUCAUCUGGUUCCUUGUUUUAUUUUACAAGUUUAUUAUACUCCUCUUAGAAGUGAUGGAGAACUCAGUAUUAUAUUGAGAAAAAGUGGAUAAAGUAAACAUUUCAUAAAUUAAUUAAUUCCCAAAACAUCCAGUGAGAUGCAGAAAAAUUAUGAAAUAUUUUCAUAAAUGUUGACAUAAAGAGUUAGAAAUGUGGAUUUAUUAGUAGUUUCCUAGUUUAAAAAAAUGACUUAGAUUCAUUCUUAGUAGGAAUUUUCUUUUGAAUUGCAUUUUUCUUUUUUUAUUUGAACAUCUCUAUCCAAAUAUUCUAAGAAGAAGAAAUGAGUAAAAUAUUAAGGCUCCUUAAGCUUUAAGGUAAUGAAAAAUGAUUGGUUUUACCCAGAUGACUUUUUUUAAAAAAUUACAUAUGUUAGUUUUUACUAAGACGUGAAAAUCCAGGUAGGAAAAAUCUCAUUCAGUCUCUCAAUGCUUCACCAGUUGAAAAACUUUCUAUUAUAUUCAGUAAUGCUCAUCCUGGUUCCCAGACACUUUUCUUUGUAUGUAUAUAAGACAAGUUUUAAAAACUUAAAACUAAAGUACUAUUUGUUUAAAAUUCUAAGUUGAUUAUGAUUUGGUCUUAACACCUAGACUUUCUCCUUUUUUAUUUAGAUUUCAAAAAUAUUUCUUAGUAAAUCAUGACUAAGCCAUACUCUAUAAAAUAGAACAUACAUAUAUGCCUGUUUGUACCCUCAAAUACUGAUAAUCUAUUUAGUUAAAGAUUAUACAAAUAGAGCAUUUAUAUGAAAUAAAAUAAACACAUAAAAUAUAUGACUGCAUAAUUAAGAAAAUUCAACACACUUAUUAUCUUUCAUAGUUACAUUGAUACAGUUAUAACUCUAAAAUGAUAAUAUUCUAUCUUAAAUUACUUUUAAGGGUAUGUUUCAUACAAACUCCUGUCUUCAUUUAUUCUAAUCCCACUCAUCAUAUCUUUUAGAUUGAAACCUUAUCUUAAUUUUUUUUUUAAAUUUGGCCCAAUGAAAUAUUUUGAACAAUUUUAUUGUUGAUUAUAAUAUGUAUCAUUUCAUUAUGUCUUUAUUAGGGCAAUUCAUUAUUUGUCUUGCAGAGCACAAGUAUGCACUUUUUCUCUAUUAGCUUCCAAGACAUGAAAUUUUAUUAGACUACAUUAGCUUGUUUUAGUUCUAAAAGAAUAAUUUGUACUUCCACCUAGAGUGUUAAGAGUACUUGUUACUUUUACUUAGUAUUUUUCAACUUAAGUCAACCUGGUAGAUGUUUUUAUGUAUAUUGAGGAUGACUGAUAAAAUAUAAAUCAUUUUUCUUCAUUUAGUUAAUUUUAUGUUUAUUUCAUAAAGUUUUAUUUAUUUAUUUAUUUUCCCACAAAGAUCUUGUAUUCCUGUGGUCUUUAAUCUAGUUUGGAUUCAAACAAGAACACUGUACUCUAGAUAAUUAAAAAAUGAAUAUAUAUAUAUAAUUAUAUAUAUAGAUAUAUAUUAUAGAUAUAUAUUAUAUAUAUAAUAUAUGUUAUAUAUAUAUAAUUAUAUAUAUAUAUAAUUCCUAACAUAAGGAAUUAGAUGCUUAUAAAAUUAUCCAAUGGGCUAAAGGAGUAAUAAUCAAGAACAGAUAUCAUUACAGCUGUGGUUAUUAUCAGGAAAUAGCUGCUGACACUGUGUUUUAGUCAGUUUUUUUUUUUUUUUCAUUCCUGCAGCCAAAAGUCCUGAUAAGAACACUUGUAGAGAAGAGGUGAAGCAGAACAUGCAUCAUGGCAGCGGAGUGUUGCAGAGGAAAGGAGCUCAGGACAUUGUAACAGGAAUAGAGAGAAAGUCUACUCUAUUCACAGGGACAAAACACAUACCCCAAAGGUACACCCUAAAUGCCCAACACCUCCAGCCACACCCUACCUGCCUGCAGUUAUCCCCAGGGGAAUAAUGCACUAAUUAGGUCAAGGCUUUCUUUCCUAAUCCAAUCAUUUCAUCUAUAAACUUUCUUGAAUUGUGUCACACAUUAGUUUUUGAAGGACACUUAAUAUAUGAACCACAACACACUGGUUUAAAAAAAAAUCUAUGCUGGAAGUUAAAGAAAGGCCUUAUUCAAGAUUGUUGCAAAUAGCAGAGACACUGAAUUCAAAUACUCUGAAAGAAAAGGCAAGAAAUUAUUUAAAUUUUAAGAUGAGCUUUUACAGUUUGGAUAUGAAGUGUCCCCUAAUAUGAUUAGAUUUUUAGAGCUGUAACUUAAUUGGUGGGUUAAUCCAUUUAUAAUUUGAAGGGACUACUGUCCUGGGUGAUAACCACAGGUAGGCUUGGUAUGGCAGGAGGAAGUUAGUCACUGAGACGUGUGCCUUUGGGGUUUAAUUUUUGCUCCUGGCUCCUCUUGAACUUAAUUUCUGUUAUCUGGCUACUAUGAAAUAAACAACUUGUCUCAUUCAUGCCCUUCUGAAAAGAUACCCUUUUGUCUGGCCUUGGGCCCAGAGGCAUGGAAUUGGUGAACUAUGGACUGAAUCCAUGAAACCAAAAUAAAUUUUUCCUUUUCUAAGUUGUUUUUGUCAGGUAUUUAGUGAUAUCAACAAAAGCU
rnacentral:lncRNA from 1 species